ensembl:lncRNA
CAAGUUACCUCGAAUAACACUGCAUUUCUCGUUACUGCUCAACCCCUCCUUCAGACACCCUACGGUUUUCUUUACUGUGUUGGAGAGGAACAAUAUUUUAAAGUUUCCGUUCAAAUAAAUGAGAACAACAAAUUCCUUUCAUGACUUUAUCGGUAAUUUUAAGCGCCACAGAACUUAGCUUUUUUUUCCUGAAAGAUAACUGGAAUUAAAGUAAUCAAUCUCUUUAGAGAAAAAAAAGAAGAAGAAAAAAAAAGACAAAGGGGACAGAAGUGUAAAAAAUAAAUGAGGAAAGAGAAAAGAACUCUUAGCAUAUUUUCCUUUCAUGUAUUCUCACCGAAAAAUAACUCAGAGAAAACGAGGAGCUGAGAAGGAGAACGUGCCCCUAUCAGGCUCCUUUGGGACAAGCAUGGUCCCCACUGGGAGGGGGAAUGGGGCCCCUCUGUGUGAGCGCAGUGAUUGCCAUCAUUCUGGGACUCGCUCCUGACCGUCUGCACUCCUGAGGGAAGAACCUUCCAGGGAACAGGGCUCAGCAUGACAGAGGAGACGAAAGUCUCGAAGAAGGCAUGGCCUCUGAGGAUGGCUAUUAAAAUGGCAAAUAGAGACCUGCCAAGGGAACCCAUGCGUGACCAGGAGUCCCGGGCAUGGUGGAAGUGUCACGGUUGGGCUCACACCAACAUCGUCUGGAAGACUAAAUCUUGCUAAUUCUUUGAGAUUGGCAAAAACUCAUACGAUUCACACGUUCUGGAUUAAGAAUGAUAACAAGAUGUAACAUUCCACUUUUUGAUACCAGUGUAGUGACCAAGUUAAACUAGACUUUCAAAAGGAACUCAGCGUCACCGUCCCACAAGGUCCUCCCAGGGGUGGGGAGCCAACGUUUCAUCACCACAUUCCAGGAGAAAUGGACCGGCAGAGCGAGGUGGAGUAAGAUGGCUCUGUCACACCCCACGGCAUUCCUCAGGGUCACAGGCAUCCACUCGGGAUCCACUGCUCUGACUACACACUUUUUCUCUCCCCACGUGCGUAAACUUUACCCCUCCCUUUAUUCGACUCCAGUAAAGCUCAGUGGUUGAAAGAGCAGUUUCGGCACACGCAAUUCGUUCACCAUUCACCGAGCACCUCUCAGCCACAAGGGCCCGUGCUAUGCCCUGGGGAGUAAAAAGCGAUCAAUAAUUGAGGUCGUCCUCCACAGCUCACACUCCAGAAGGGGCACCGACGUUAGACUAGCUGGUCUUAAACUUGCCACCUCUGGGAGCUUUUAAACCAUGCUGACGCUGGGACCCCACACCUGACCAACUGAAUCCAGAUGUCUGCGCUGGAGGGAGGGGGCCUGGGGAGUCACCAGUUUCCAAAGAAGUCUCCAGAGGUGAUUUUGAUUGACGACCAGGGCUUAGAAAUACUGUUUUGGACAAGUAACUAAGCCGUACUAAGUGGUGCCAUUAAGAGUGCCGGGGAGGGAGUGACUAAUGAUAACUGAGAGGGAUGGAGGAAGAUGCGGGGGAAGAUGACCACAGGUGUGACUACAAAGGAUGGGCAGGAUUCUGCAAGGCAAACAACAGGUGAGGUAGAAGAUGCCAGACAAAAGGGAUGAGGGAGGUGACGGUUGCCCACGGGAGGCACAGGAGAGUUUCUGCCACUGAAGAAUUCUAGGACGAAUGCACGAGAAGACGGCACUGACAUAAUUCUGGACCUGUGGAAACAGUGAGCCAGAAGAGGUGUGUACAGAAUGUUCCAGCAGCUUGGAGGAGCGAGGCUGCUCACCUGGGGAGGCCAAGACCCCUGUGCAUUCAAGCGACUGACUGGCCGGGACUGGGCACAGGCCUUCCUGACCCAAUCAGAGGGAAGACUCUAAGAAACGAGGAGACCCUGGAGUUUCCACAGCCAUUUCUGUCUGAACUUGCUGAGAUACUGCUGGCACAGGCCUUGUUGUUGAAAUCUGCCUACGGUAGGUUAUUUCCAGAGAUGGCCGCUCACAGGUCCUCCCACCCUUUAUGUACAAGGGUCCCUCCGCCAAGAAGUGAAGUCUGUUCUGCCCCCUCCUCUUGAACCUGGGCUGGCCUGGGAACUUGCUCUCCCCAGUAGAGGGUGGCAGAGCGAUGUUCCGGGACUUCCCAGCCCAGGCUUUUAGGGCUAUACGGUGUCCACUUUGACCUUCUUGGGAUCCAGUCGCCACGUAAAGCAGCUGAGUCUAGGCCACUAAAUGAUGGGAGACUGUGUGGAGAGAGAGGGGCCAGCCUGCUCCCAGCUCUCCACCCGCCCAGCUGAGACCCGAGACAUGUGACUGAAGCCAUCUGAAACUUCCAGGCCCAGCCGAGCCCCCAAAGAAUUCAGAUGCACGAACAACCCCAGCCAACGCCAGGUGGAACAGAAGAACUGUCCUGCCAAUCACAGAGUCUUCAGAAAUGACAACUCGUUGUUGUUUAAGAUCCCCAGUUUGUGGUGGUUUAUUACACAGAAAUAAGCAACUGAUUCACAGGGUGAGUUGGACUUUCUGCUACUUUCGUAGAGAGUCUUAACUGGUUUGUUUCCAUAGGUUCAAAGUUAAGACACUGUCAGGCACUAACAACAGAAAAUCCAACUCACGAAGGAUAUUUAUUAUCUCUCAUAACAAGAAAUUCCAAGUUAGGGCUGUGGCAGGACUGGCUAAUGGCCCAGUGGUGCCAUCAGGGACCCACACUUUCCCCAUCUUUCCACGCCACCUCCCCCAGUGUGAGGAUGUUCCUCAGGCUACCUCCUGUCAUGGAUACAAAAAGACUGCAAAGCACCAGACAUCAAAUCCAGACACAACAUCCAGCAGGAAACGAGGGGCUUUUCCUCUUUAUGUCCCUUUUUAAGAGUGAGGAAAUGUGUCCCAACAGCAGGAUUCAUUGGCUUGAGCUUGUUUUGAACCAAUCAUGGGAAAGAAGAAUGGAAUUACCAAGAUUAGCUUGCAUGAACCAGUUUACCCCUCACCACGUAGAGAGUGGAACCUGCACCAAGGUGGGUUUCUGCCAGCGAGGACAGAGGGCACAGGCGCUGUCCUGGAGACCAGCAUCUGCUACAAUAUGAACUUAUCAUUUGCCAUUGAACAAAACAGACACUCUUGAAAGACAUGCAGCCUCUAUCCUGGUGGGACCCUUGCUGGCCCCCAUCCCAAUGUGACAGCUUUCAAGGUAGAAGGCUAGUCAAAAUCGGGCUCUCGCAGUCAGGGUCCUGGCAGGAAGCAGAAGGCACUCCUGGGAGGAGAUGUGAAAGCGAUUGUGAUGGAGGGACCAUUUGCUGUAGUGUGGUCAUGGUUCGAUGGCCCAUCAGAGAGUGCUCUUACCCAGGGACCAGCAUUAGCCUGAGGUGGACGCCACAGCCAGGCCUUAAAAGGCCUGGGAGCGGGGACUGUAGCUCCUGGAGCCUGACACGAGUUAAUGCAAUGGACAAGGAAGCCCGACAAGCACUCGUCACAGAGGGACACACAUACUGCCAGGUGCAGGGUGAGGCCAGGACCAAGAGGA